GACGAACGCUGGCGGCGUGCCUAACACAUGCAAGUCGAACGGAGAAUCAGCAAUGAUUCUUAGUGGCGAACGGGUGAGUAACGCGUAGACAACCUGCCUUCUAGAUGGGGACAACACUGCGAAAGUGGUGCUAAUACCGAAUGUUGUAUUAAGCCUGCAUGGGCUUGAUACUAAAGGUGGCCUCUAUUUAUAAGCUAUCACUAGAAGAUGGGUCUGCGUCUGAUUAGCUAGUUGGUGAGGUAAUGGCUCACCAAGGCGAUGAUCAGUAGCCGGUCUGGGAGGAUGAACGGCCACACUGGGACUGAGACACGGCCCAGACUCCUACGGGAGGCAGCAGUGGGGAAUCUUCCGCAAUGGACGAAAGUCUGACGGAGCAACGCCGCGUGAGUGAAGAAGGUUUUCGGAUCGUAAAGCUCUGUCUUUGAGGACGAAUGUGUCUAAUGUGAAUAAUGUUAGAUAAUGACGGUACUCGAGGAGGAAGCCACGGCUAACUACGUGCCAGCCGCCGCCGUAA
rnacentral:rRNA from 1 species